rnacentral:rRNA from 1 species
GACGAACGCUGGCGGCGUGCUUAACACAUGCAAGUCGAACGGUGAAGGACGGAGCUUGCUCUGUCUGGAUCAGUGGCGAACGGGUGAGUAACACGUGAGUAACCUGCCCCAGACUCUGGAAUAAGCGCUGGAAACGGCGUCUAAUACCGGAUACGAGACGGAGAGGCAUCUCUACCGUCUGGAAAGUUUUUCGGUCUGGGAUGGACUCGCGGCCUAUCAGCUUGUUGGUGAGGUAAUGGCUCACCAAGGCCACGACGGGUAGCCGGCCUGAGAGGGCGACCGGCCACACUGGGACUGAGACACGGCCCAGACUCCUACGGGAGGCAGCAGUGGGGAAUAUUGCACAAUGGGCGAAAGCCUGAUGCAGCGACGCCGCGUGAGGGAUGACGGCCUUCGGGUUGUAAACCUCUUACAGCAGGGAAGAAGCGAAAGUGACGGUACCUGCAGAAGAAGCACCGGCUAACUACGUGCCAGCCGCCGCCGUAACAC